GGGAUUGUGGCUCAGAGGUAGAGCGCUCGCCUCGCACGCAGGGUGCACUGGGUUCAAUCCUCAGCACCA
rnacentral:tRNA from 1 species